AAUAAAGCUGUGAAGGAAAGAGUAGCACGUGUAGCAUUUAAAGAGAGCCGGGGUAGGUGAAAGCCGGUAAUGUAAAGCGUGUGAAGAUGGCUCUGGAGCUUGUAUGUUGAAGUUUAGUAGGCAUACACGGUUUAUCCGUUAUCUUAAGGUCACUGACCUUACAAGGCCUAAGUCGCGAGGCUUAGGUGAAUUAGGGUGGUAACGCGGCACCUCGCCCCUAAA
rnacentral:ncRNA from 1 species